UAAGCGACUAAGCGUACACGGUGGAUGCCCUGGCAGUCAGAGGCGAUGAAGGACGUGCUAAUCUGCGAUAAGCGUCGGUAAGGUGAUAUGAACCGUUAUAACCGGCGAUUUCCGAAUGGGGAAACCCAGUGUGAUUCGUCACACUAUCAUUAACUGAAUCCAUAGGUUAAUGAGGCGAACCGGGGGAACUGAAACAUCUAAGUACCCCGAGGAAAAGAAAUCAACCGAGAUUCCCCCAGUAGCGGCGAGCGAACGGGGAGGAGCCCAGAGCCUGAAUCAGUGUGUGUGUUAGUGGAAGCGUCUGGAAAGGCGCGCGAUACAGGGUGACAGCCCCGUACACAAAAAUGCACAUGCUGUGAGCUCGAUGAGUAGGGCGGGACACGUGGUAUCCUGUCUGAAUAUGGGGGGACCAUCCUCCAAGGCUAAAUACUCCUGACUGACCGAUAGUGAACCAGUACCGUGAGGGAAAGGCGAAAAGAACCCCGGCGAGGGGAGUGAAAAAGAACCUGAAACCGUGUACGUACAAGCAGUGGGAGCACGCUUAGGCGUGUGACUGCGUACCUUUUGUAUAAUGGGUCAGCGACUUAUAUUCUGUAGCAAGGUUAACCGAAUAGGGGAGCCGAAGGGAAACCGAGUCUUAACUGGGCGUUAAGUUGCAGGGUAUAGACCCGAAACCCGGUGAUCUAGCCAUGGGCAGGUUGAAGGUUGGGUAACACUAACUGGAGGACCGAACCGACUAAUGUUGAAAAAUUAGCGGAUGACUUGUGGCUGGGGGUGAAAGGCCAAUCAAACCGGGAGAUAGCUGGUUCUCCCCGAAAGCUAUUUAGGUAGCGCCUCGUGAAUUCAUCUCCGGGGGUAGAGCACUGUUUCGGCAAGGGGGUCAUCCCGACUUACCAACCCGAUGCAAACUGCGAAUACCGGAGAAUGUUAUCACGGGAGACACACGGCGGGUGCUAACGUCCGUCGUGAAGAGGGAAACAACCCAGACCGCCAGCUAAGGUCCCAAAGUCAUGGUUAAGUGGGAAACGAUGUGGGAAGGCCCAGACAGCCAGGAUGUUGGCUUAGAAGCAGCCAUCAUUUAAAGAAAGCGUAAUAGCUCACUGGUCGAGUCGGCCUGCGCGGAAGAUGUAACGGGGCUAAACCAUGCACCGAAGCUGCGGCAGCGACGCUUAUGCGUUGUUGGGUAGGGGAGCGUUCUGUAAGCCUGUGAAGGUGUGCUGUGAGGCAUGCUGGAGGUAUCAGAAGUGCGAAUGCUGACAUAAGUAACGAUAAAGCGGGUGAAAAGCCCGCUCGCCGGAAGACCAAGGGUUCCUGUCCAACGUUAAUCGGGGCAGGGUGAGUCGACCCCUAAGGCGAGGCCGAAAGGCGUAGUCGAUGGGAAACAGGUUAAUAUUCCUGUACUUGGUGUUACUGCGAAGGGGGGACGGAGAAGGCUAUGUUGGCCGGGCGACGGUUGUCCCGGUUUAAGCGUGUAGGCUGGUUUUCCAGGCAAAUCCGGAAAAUCAAGGCUGAGGCGUGAUGACGAGGCACUACGGUGCUGAAGCAACAAAUGCCCUGCUUCCAGGAAAAGCCUCUAAGCAUCAGGUAACAUCAAAUCGUACCCCAAACCGACACAGGUGGUCAGGUAGAGAAUACCAAGGCGCUUGAGAGAACUCGGGUGAAGGAACUAGGCAAAAUGGUGCCGUAACUUCGGGAGAAGGCACGCUGAUAUGUAGGUGAAGUCCCUCGCGGAUGGAGCUGAAAUCAGUCGAAGAUACCAGCUGGCUGCAACUGUUUAUUAAAAACACAGCACUGUGCAAACACGAAAGUGGACGUAUACGGUGUGACGCCUGCCCGGUGCCGGAAGGUUAAUUGAUGGGGUUAGCGCAAGCGAAGCUCUUGAUCGAAGCCCCGGUAAACGGCGGCCGUAACUAUAACGGUCCUAAGGUAGCGAAAUUCCUUGUCGGGUAAGUUCCGACCUGCACGAAUGGCGUAAUGAUGGCCAGGCUGUCUCCACCCGAGACUCAGUGAAAUUGAACUCGCUGUGAAGAUGCAGUGUACCCGCGGCAAGACGGAAAGACCCCGUGAACCUUUACUAUAGCUUGACACUGAACAUUGAGCCUUGAUGUGUAGGAUAGGUGGGAGGCUUUGAAGUGUGGACGCCAGUCUGCAUGGAGCCGACCUUGAAAUACCACCCUUUAAUGUUUGAUGUUCUAACGUGGACCCGUAAUCCGGGUUGCGGACAGUGUCUGGUGGGUAGUUUGACUGGGGCGGUCUCCUCCUAAAGAGUAACGGAGGAGCACGAAGGUUGGCUAAUCCUGGUCGGACAUCAGGAGGUUAGUGCAAUGGCAUAAGCCAGCUUGACUGCGAGCGUGACGGCGCGAGCAGGUGCGAAAGCAGGUCAUAGUGAUCCGGUGGUUCUGAAUGGAAGGGCCAUCGCUCAACGGAUAAAAGGUACUCCGGGGAUAACAGGCUGAUACCGCCCAAGAGUUCAUAUCGACGGCGGUGUUUGGCACCUCGAUGUCGGCUCAUCACAUCCUGGGGCUGAAGUAGGUCCCAAGGGUAUGGCUGUUCGCCAUUUAAAGUGGUACGCGAGCUGGGUUUAGAACGUCGUGAGACAGUUCGGUCCCUAUCUGCCGUGGGCGCUGGAGAAUUGAGGGGGGCUGCUCCUAGUACGAGAGGACCGGAGUGGACGCAUCACUGGUGUUCGGGUUGUCAUGCCAAUGGCACUGCCCGGUAGCUAAAUGCGGAAGAGAUAAGUGCUGAAAGCAUCUAAGCACGAAACUUGCCCCGAGAUGAGUUCUCCCUGACUCCUUGAGAGUCCUGAAGGAACGUUGAAGACGACGACGUUGAUAGGCCGGGUGUGUAAGCGCAGCGAUGCGUUGAGCUAACCGGUACUAAUGAACCGUGAGGCUUAACCU
rnacentral:rRNA from 1 species